GAGUUUGAUCUUGGCUCAGAACGAACGCUGGCGGCAGGCCUCAAACAUGCAAGUCUAGGGGGUGCAGCAAUGCAUCACCGGCGGACGGGUGCGUAACGCGUGGGAAUAUACCUAUUGGUUCGGAACAACUGCGGGAAACUGCAGCUAAUACCGAAUGUGCCCUCACGGGGAAAGAUUUAUCGCCAAUGGAUUAGCCCGCGUCCGAUUAGCUAGUUGGUGGGGUAAAGGCUCACCAAGGCUCCGAUCGGUAGCUGUUCUGAGAGGAAGAUCAGCCACACUGGGACUGAGACACGGCCCAGACUCCUACGGGAGGCAGCAGUGGGGAAUUUUGGACAAUGGGGGCAACCCUGAUCCAGCCAUUCCGCGUGAGUGAAGAAGGCC
rnacentral:rRNA from 1 species